UCAUUAAUUUGACCACAGUGGUGUGUAAGAUGCUUAAAUGAAACAUGAGCAAAGCAGAGAGGAGUGAGUCUGUUUGUUACGCAACACAGAGUCAACGGUGUGGAGCUGUAUGUACAGUAAUAGCAGACUGCUGGCACUCAGAGAGAACAGGUGGAAUAAACGGUUUUCUGAUGACAAUAUAGUAAUUGUGUGUGUGUGUGUGUGUGUGUGUGUGUGUGUGUGUGUGUGUGUGUGUGUGGCUGACAUCAGCAGGAGUAGGGGUAAACACUGAUAAGUCUUUUUCAGGAUCUGCAGUUCUAAUGGUCACGACGGUUAGAUACUAACGAACAGGGCUGAUGUUUACUGACCUUUACUGUGAAAUCUUGUUUACAGAAAGCAAAAAAGACGGGAGGAGGGUAUGAGGAAGAAAAGUGGAGGCCGGAAAGAAACAUAUAACAAAGGUGACAGCAGUGUAAAAGGAAGGAAUGGGAAGUAAAGAAAAACAGCCGAAGAAAACAGAAAAGAAGGAAGAAUGGAUGCAAAAGGAGAAGAGGAAAGGAGGAGAAGAAGGAAAAGGGGAGAAAGGCAAAAAAUAAAGACGGAAAGAUUGCAAUGGGACACAGAAAAUGAAGAAAGGAAGAGGGAGGAAGAAAAGUUAGAUAUGUCAUAUGUAUAGAGUGGCAGGAAAUCAUUAAGAAGAAAAGUAAGUAAUCAAGUUGAGGCAGUAAGGAAGUAGGAAAGGAUGGAAGGGAGAAAAGAAGGAAAAAUGGAUGGAAGGAAGGACAGCAAAGGAAAGAAGGAAAAAAGAAGUCACAGGAAACAGAUUCUCAGUUCCUUCACAUAUUUUCCCUCUUUUCUUCCACCCACUAGCUCGCAGCCAAACCCAGAGGGAGCAAGCCGUCAUCUCUCUUUUACCUUCCCUCCAUCUUUUUCUCCCCAGAAUUAAACCCAUCGAUACGAGGCUUCAUCCCAUCUUUUCAUGGGAGGGGAAGGUGAACUUAUGAAGGCUCCGCCUGUUCCCCAGCCGAUUGAUUGAUGUCAAAGUGUUUAACUCACAAAGGGCUCAGCAGCACUGCGGUUUAUGCACCAGGCAAAUAAUUUACAGGACUCAUUGAUGUUGCUUGUUUUACCUGAGAAAUAAGAUGCUAAUCCCCUUGAUGUGCACCAAAUGGAGAGGAGGGGGUAUGUGUGGGGGCGAGAGGGGCGGACCUCCUGUCUAUCACCUCCACGUUAGACAAACAAAGCUGUCUCUGCUGCGCCUCACAGACAAGCUGCACGAACGAAGAAGCACAAUGCCAUUACAUCUCCUGUAAAACCUUCAGUAUCUCACAAAGCCAACGUAUAACA